AGUUUCAAAUAUUUUUAUAAUCACACAAUUUGGGCCACACCCGACCCGUUUCGGCCCAAUAUAGCAGAAAUGGUUUCUCCUUCUUAAGAUUUUGAAUCAGAAUCUGCAGAGAAUUGGGGAGAAAGGAGCUGAAAAAAUGGCGGAGAACAAAGGAGGCUGCAAGUUGAACGUUGCAAUCAUUCAUCCCGAUCUGGGCAUCGGUAGGUGAAGCUGAAAGACUGAUCCUUCGCACGGCCAUAAAGUUCAUGUUUUCACUUCGCACCACGAUAAAAAUCGAUGCUUUGAGGAGACCGUUUCUGGUAUCUUUCCAGUUACUAUAUAUGGUGCCAUCCAACCCCGACAUAUAUUCUAUCGACUCCAUGCUUUGUGUGCAUAUAUACGGUGCCCUUCUAUUGCUCUCUGUAUGCUGUUCAUGUGGCCAUCGUUUGAUGUAUAAUAGCAGAUCAGGUUUCUGUUGUCAUCCCACUGCUGAAGCUUAAGAAGGAAACAAGGGUUUUGUGUUAUUGUCAUUUUCCGGAUUUAUUGUUGGCUCAGCACACAAUUGUUUUGAGGAGGAUAUAUAGAAAACCCCGUAGACUUCAUAGAAGAAUUGACAACUGAUAAGGCAGAUAAGAUUCUUGUUAACAGCAAAUUCACAGCAUCUAUGUUUUGCAUAGACAUUUAAGCAUGUUGACGCACGAGGGGUUGAGCCAGCUGUUCUUUAUCCAGCUGUCAGCGUGAAUCAUUUUAAUGAACCAGCCAAUUCUUACAAGCUAAUUUUCUGUCUAUCAAUCGUUUUGAGAGGAAAAAGAAGGACCUGGCAAUUUCAGCUUUUUCUUUUCUUCGUACCCUCGAAGGGGAUGUGCUUCAAGGUCCUGAUUUGGCUCAAGCGCUUCCUUGACGAUUGCCUGCAAGUUCCUACUUAUUAUCUCCCCUGAGUGGUUUUGAUAAUUGUUUGAGAGAAAAUGUUGAGUACUUAGAGGAGCUCAGAAGUCUGGCAGAAAUGGAAGGAGUGUCCAAUCAAGUUAACUUCAUCACCUCUUGCUCAACAGCAGAAAGAAAUGCACUUCUCUCCCAAUGCCUAUGCGUCCUUUAUAUGCCAAGGGAUGAGCACUUUGGCAUUGUACCUCUGGAGGCAAUGGCUGUUCAUCUACCUGUCAUUGCAUGCAACAGUGGGGCCCCUGUAGAGACAAUGAAGAAUGGUGAGACAGGAUUUCUGUGUGACUGUAACCCAAGAGAGUUCUCUUUGGCUAUGGCUAAACUCAUAACAGGCCUGCAGAUGGCUCAAAGACGGCAUGUCACAAAGUCAUUCUCUACGAAAAUAUUUCGUCAGCACUUGAAUGUCUUUUUGAAAGUUUGCUAAGAAAUCACGUAGUAGUGCAAUGUAAUUAAUUGUACAAUCCAUAGAAGCAUGUGUCUGUAUUCCAAUAAACAUUGACCCUUACGAGUUAUAACCGGUUCUGAAAUUAAUCUUGUGAUUAAUGGUCCAGUUUUUUUCAUUAAAAAAAUCAUAUGAACAUCGAUUUUACUUCUU